UGGGGAAUAUUGCACAAUGGGCGCAAGCCUGAUGCAGCCAUGCCGCGUGUAUGAAGAAGGCCUUCGGGUUGUAAAGUACUUUCAGCGGGGAGGAAGGGAGUAAAGUUAAUACCUUUGCUCAUUGACGUUACCCGCAGAAGAAGCACCGGCUAACUCCGUGCCAGCAGCCGCGGUAAUACGGAGGGUGCAAGCGUUAAUCGGAAUUACUGGGCGUAAAGCGCACGCAGGCGGUCUGUCAAGUCGGAUGUGAAAUCCCCGGGCUCAACCUGGGAACUGCAUUCGAAACUGUCAGGCUAGAGUCUUGUAGAGGUGGGUAGAAUUCCAGGUGUAGCGGUGAAAUGCGUAGAGAUCUGGAGGAAUACCGAUGUCGAAGGCGGCCCCCUGGACAAAGACUGACGCUCAGGUGCGAAAGCGUGGGGAUCAAACAGG
rnacentral:rRNA from 1 species